rnacentral:siRNA from 1 species
CGCCUCUCUCUCUCCACGUCUC